rnacentral:rRNA from 2 species
GUGCUUACACAUGCAAGUCGAACGGCAGCGGGGGUAGCUUGCUACCUGCCGGCGAGUGGCGAACGGGUGAGUAAUACAUCGGAACGUGCCCUGUAGUGGGGGAUAACUAGUCGAAAGACUAGCUAAUACCGCAUACGACCUGAGGGUGAAAGUGGGGGACCGCAAGGCCUCAUGCUAUAGGAGCGGCCGAUGUCUGAUUAGCUAGUUGGUGGGGUAAAGGCCCACCAAGGCGACGAUCAGUAGCUGGUCUGAGAGGACGAUCAGCCACACUGGGACUGAGACACGGCCCAGGCUCCUACGGGAGGCAGCAGUGGGGARWUUUGGACAAUGRGGGCAACCCUGAUCCAGCAAUGCCGCGUGUGUGAAGAAGGCCUUCGGGUUGUAAAGCACUUUUGUCCGGAAAGAAAUCGCACUGGUUAAUACCUGGUGUGGAUGACGGUACCGGAAGAAUAAGGACCGGCUAACUACGUGCCAGCAGCCGCGGUAAUACGUAGGGUCCAAGCGUUAAUCGGAAUUACUGGGCGUAAAGCGUGCGCAGGCGGUUGUGCAAGACCGAUGUGAAAUCCCCGGGCUUAACCUGGGAAUUGCAUUGGUGACUGCACGGCUAGAGUGUGUCAGAGGGAGGUAGAAUUCCACGUGUAGCAGUGAAAUGCGUAGAGAUGUGGAGGAAUACCGAUGGCGAAGGCAGCCUCCUGGGAUAACACUGACGCUCAUGCACGAAAGCGUGGGGAGCAAACAGGAUUAGAUACCCUGGUAGUCCACGCCCUAAACGAUGUCAACUAGUUGUUGGGGAUUCAUUUCCUUAGUAACGUAGCUAACGCGUGAAGUUGACCGCCUGGGGAGUACGGUCGCAAGAUUAAAACUCAAAGGAAUUGACGGGGACCCGCACAAGCGGUGGAUGAUGUGGAUUAAUUCGAUGCAACGCGAAAAACCUUACCUACCCUUGACAUGCCACUAACGAAGCAGAGAUGCAUUAGGUGCUCGAAAGAGAAAGUGGACACAGGUGCUGCAUGGCUGUCGUCAGCUCGUGUCGUGAGAUGUUGGGUUAAGUCCCGCAACGAGCGCAACCCUUGUCCUCUAGUUGCUACGAAAGGGCACUUCUAGAGGAGACUGCCGGUGACAAACCGGAGGAAGGUGGGGAUGACGUCAAGUCCUCAUGGCCCUUAUGGGUAGGGCUUCACACGUCAUACAAUGGUGCAUACAGAGGGUUGCCAAGCCGCGAGGUGGAGCUAAUCCCAGAAAAUGCAUCGUAGUCCGGAUCGUAGUCUGCAACUCGACUACGUGAAGCUGGAAUCGCUAGUAAUCGCGGAUCAGCAUGCCGCGGUGAAUACGUUCCCGGGUCUUGUACACACCGCCCGUCACACCAUGGGAGUGGGCUUUACCAGAAGUAGUUAGCCUAACCGUAAGGAGGGCGAUACCCCGCCC